AAGACUAUACUUUAAGGGAUCAUUUCUGCAGUUUCUUACUAGAGAAGUUUCUCUGACUAUAGAGUCCUGGAAACCACAAGGAGGAGUGCCGUGUUCUCUCCUGAGCAUGAAGCUGGUCCUGGGGGUUGUUUGGUACAACUGCCCUUAGCCAUUGAUGAGUGUUCUUCUCUCCCCUGCGAGAGUUAGAGGGGCAAAUGUAGUCUGAGUGGU
rnacentral:snoRNA from 1 species